rnacentral:tRNA from 2 species
GGCCCCAUGGUCAAGCGGUUAAGACAUCGCCCUUUCACGGCGGUAACCCGAGUUCGAGUCUCGGUGGGGUCACCA